rnacentral:rRNA from 1 species
UACGGAGGGGGCUAGCGUUGUUCGGAAUUACUGGGCGUAAAGCGCGCGUAGGCGGACCUGCAAGUCGGGGGUGAAAGCCCGAGGCUCAACCUCGGAACUGCCUUCGAUACUGCGGGUCUCGAGUCCGAGAGAGGUGAGUGGAAUUCCUAGUGUAGAGGUGAAAUUCGUAGAUAUUAGGAAGAACACCAGUGGCGAAGGCGGCUCACUGGCUCGGUACUGACGCUGAGGAGCGAAAGCGUGGGGAGCAAACAGG